rnacentral:rRNA from 1 species
CCUACGGGAGGCAGCAGUGAGGAAUAUUGGUCAAUGGACGAGAGUCUGAACCAGCCAAGUCGCGUGAAGGAGGACUGCCCUAUGGGUUGUAAACUUCUUUUAUAUGGGAAUAAAACGUUCCACGUGUGGGAUGUUGUAUGUACCAUAUGAAUAAGGCUCGGCUAACUCCGUGCCAGCAGCCGCGGUAAUACGGAGGAUCCGAGCGUUAUCCGGAUUUAUUGGGUUUAAAGGGGGCCUAGGGGGAUUGUUAAGUUAGGUGUGAAAGUUUGCGGCUUAACCGUUAAAUUGCAGUUGAAACUGGCAGUCUUGAGUACAGUAGAGGUGGGCGGAAUUCGUGGUGUAGCGGUGAAAUGCUUAGAUAUCACGCAGAACUCCGAUUGCGAAGGCAGCUCACUGGACUGCAACUGACACUGAGGCUCGAAAGUGUGGGUAUCAAACAGGAUUAGAUACCCGUGUAGUC